GACAGAGGGGGCAAGCGUUGCUCGGAAUUACUGGGCGUAAAGGGCGCGUAGGCGGGAUGGCAAGUCGGACGUGAAAUCCCCAGGCUCAACCUGGGAACUGCGUCCGAUACUGGAUGGCUUGAAUCCGGGAGAGGGAUGCAGAAUUCCAGGUGUAGCGGUGAAAUGCGUAGAUAUCUCGAGGAAUACCGGUGGCGAAGGCGGCAUCCUGGACCGGCAUUGACGCUGAGGAGCGAAAGCCAGGGGAGCAAACGGG
rnacentral:rRNA from 1 species